UUUUUAGUAUUUUUAUUAAAGAUCUAAUCUGCUCAAUGAUUAAUUAAUUUAAUAGCCGCAGUAUAUUGACUGUGCAAAGGUAGCAUAAUAAUUAGUCUUUUAAUUGAAGUCUGGAAUGAAUGAUUGAAUGAAAAAUUAUCUUUCUUUGAUAUUUAAUUAGAAUUUGAUUUUUGAGUGAAAAAGCUUAAAUUAUUUUAAGUGACGAUAAGACCCUAUAGAGUUUGAAAUUUUUUUUAUUAUUAUUGUUUUUGAUGUUAUUAUAUAUAUUAAUAUAAUUUAAUUUUUUAUUGGGGUGAUAAAUUUAAUAUUAUUAACUUUAUUUUUUUUUUUCAUUUAUUUAUGUUUAUUUUGAUCUAAUAUUAUUGAUUAUAAGAAUUAGUUACCUUAGGGAUAACAGCGUAAUUUUUUUGUAGAGUUCAUAUCGAUAAAAAAUUUUGCGACCUCGAUGUUGGAUUAAGAUAAAAUUAGGGGGUAAGUUUUCUAAUUAUAAGUCUGUUC
rnacentral:rRNA from 1 species